ensembl:lncRNA
CUACCAGUUGGUACAGUCCACUUGGUAGGCUGGUAGGUUGAUACAUCUCAUAGUUUGCUUGUGACGUCACUAUAACAAUUUGAAGUAGCUUGGCAUGUCAACAUCACACAUCGGUGGUAAAAGAAGCACUUAUAAUCAGAUUCGACAAACCCUAGAGGAGAUCUGUUUGUUUAUUUCGCCUUGUAUCAAAUCGAUGUCCUAACAUUAUUUCGACCUGCUCCAAAACCACCCACUUUUCGUUGAAAUAUCUUGUUCUUUUAGUUAAUUAUUUCGAGUUGCUAAGUGUUGAUUUUGGUGUUAUUUUAACACUUGCAGUGCUAAAAUAGCUCUGUGGGUGGUGUUGUUGAAGAGUUUUAAUGCCCUCUUACUCAGGGUUAAUUCCGUAUCCGGUUUUAACGCGCUCUUUUUCUUGAACUCGAGUUUGGUAGAGAAAGCCCAGCAUCUGGAAGGGUGAUAUAACUUACACAAUUUGGAAAGGUGAGGACCAGAUAUAUUUACUUAUUUAGCAAGUUACUCUUGAUUUAAAAAUAAGUGUUCAUACGGUAAGUGGGACAUUCCUGACGUGGCCGUAGGCUACGACAUGCGGCCGAGCUCCCGGAGCCGCGCGGCUACUAGUUCAUGACAGUACUGGACAUAUCUCCAUGUCCCAUUUGCCCCCCUUUGAUGGCAAUAUCCUCACUAUAGUAAAGACAUUUUCUUUAUAACAUGGAUAACAAGCAAAAACAAAAAAUCGCUAUUAGGCGCUAAUCGCUAGUUAGCGAACAUGCUAAACAAACUUUACAACAUGGAUGAUAGUUCAGGCAGUACUGGACAUAUCUUUAUGUGCCACUUUGUUCAACAAAAUGGGACAAUGAUAUCCAUAUCAUUUGUCCCUAACCCCAAAUCAGUGCUGCUAAUGAGCACCUCAGCUUGCUGCUAAAGCUUUCACUACUCUAGCUGCUACGGUGUUUCGGUUCAACUCGUGACCGUUUUAACUGGUCACGAGUCUGCGGAGAAGCAAAGGGCCACCCUCCUACAAAUGGGUCUGCCAGACCUGAAGGUUCUGCAGGAUUGCCCCACCCGGUGGAACUCAACCUUCUACAUGUUGAAGCGUUUUGUGAAACUGAGGGAUGCAAUCAUCACCACCCUGGCUUUGGUGAAUCCCGCAGUGACCACCUUUACCCAUGAGGAGUGGGAGGCCAUUGAAGAGGCAUGCGAGGUGCUGCAGCCAUAUGAAGAGGUGACAGUGGAGAAGGCUAGGUGACUGCCUCCAAAAUAAUUAUUUUGGCACGGGGUCUGCAGAGGGUCAUUGCAAACCACCUGAGGACCGGCCGCUUCAAGCGGCCUUUGGUGGUGUCCCUUAUAACCGCACUCAACGCUGAGAUGGCCAAGCGUUUCCACAGGAUUGAGUUCAACUCCUUGCUGUGGGAAUCCUCCAUCCUUGACCCCAGAUUCAAGAGGAAGACCUCCUCUGAUGACCAGGCAGCCACCGAGGCCUUCCAAAGGCUCACAACUGCUGCAGCACAGGCGACCACCUCCAAUCCAUCCCAGCAGGAAGCUCUGGUGGAACAAGGAGCUGCGGGGGGACAACCAUCAGAGGAGAGCCUGAUCUGGGGUGACUUCGACGUGCAGGUCUCGGGGCUCGUCGGUCACAUUAGUGCAGGUGCGGAAGCGUCCCUCGAGAUCCGGUCCUUCCUGCAAGAGGCACUGAUCCCUAGGUCCUCUAACCCUCUGACCUGGUGGAAAAGUCGAUCGGUGAUCUAUCCGAGGCUCACUCAGCUAAUGAUGGAGAGAUUGUGUGUGGUCGCCACGUCAGUGCCAUCUGAACGAGUGUUCAGUAAGAUGGGGCUGAUUAUUUCAGUCUCCCUCCAAGGCGCAGCAAGUCACGUUCCUGAAUGCGAACCUGAAGUGAACAUUCAGGCUUCUUCAGUUCCCAGAGGUUCUUGGGUUUUCUUUCUGCCAUCACGGUUGGUCAAAGGACAAAAAUGUUUGUUAAAUGGCAAUGUUCGGUUUUGUUCCCUACCCCUGAGGUUGGACACUGGGUUACAGCGGCCCUCACAAAUCCGAUGCCGAACAUGAAUGUUAACAUUGAAGAUUUUGGAUGCACUACCUGUAUGUAGAGGGCAAAGUCUUUUAGAAAAGGUAUAGUUUGUGGUUUAAUAAGCUUGCUUUGUCCCAUUGUCUUCCACAUCAUGCCUGAUAUAGACCUCUAUUGUUUACAGACAAAUCAUGGGGUAGCCUAUAUUUAAAAAGAAAAUAAUAAUUUCCAAAACCUUAUUUCACUCUUUUUGUAGGAAAACAGGCAUCUGGUUAUGGCAGAUUUCACCAAAGCCUGACUGAUGAACAAAAGGCUGCAAUGGACAGAAUGGAGCGAACACAGAGACUGAAUGAAGAGCGUGAGGAGAGGGUCAUGUCUGGAUUUUUGGAAGAAAGUGCUCGUUCGACCGAGCGUUUGGUAGGGCAGCUAUUUGAGGGCCUCAAGUCUUUUUAAAUUUAAUACAAUCUAAAUCUAUAUAUAUAUCUAUAUAUACAUACAAUUUGAUAUGGGGUACAUUAAAAAAAUAUAUAUAUUAAAGUUCCCCAUCAAUGAAUAAACAAAUUAAUAAGGUGAACAGACAUUGAUGUGAAAAUAUUGUUAUUGUUAUUUAUUAAAUAUUUGUUCCACCAUUAUGUUCCCUUAACCAUACGUGUUUAAAUGAAUAGAGAUGACCCCUGCGAAGGGGAAAGUGAGUGGCCAUAUAUCCUGUAACCACGGCCCUUUCGUGGUCACCAUGUUCAUUAAUAUUUGCUGGCAGGCUGAGUGAAUUGGAAGUCACUACGUUUCAACAGAACACGCCAUCUUGCCUUUAGAAUUCCAAAGGUAUUUUCCACCCCAACCCGGAACGAACUUGGAUAAACAUUGAAAGAUUCCUGCUCUGGAGAUAGUAGUGGGGAGCUGAGAUGUCCUUUAACCAGCCACGGAAGGAGCGGAUAUGCAGGAUCCCCAACAACGACUAGCCUGAUGCUCUCUCCCUCGAUGAUUUUAUCACCCUAAAAUAGAAAGACAGAAGUAAAACAUUAAUUAAUGCCACGGUAUUUCACAGACAAGUAGUCGUAUAAAAUGCUGGUUAAACCCAAAGAAAGUCUCAAGUCGAGCUGCAGGUGGUCAUCGCACCACUGGGGUUGCUUUGACCCCUUUUGGGGUCUGUUUCUCAUGGACUAUGGCCUACUAGGCCUUUGUGUUUAUGUCAAAAGAAAGACGAAUGUUAAUGUGCCAAAGUAAAUCCAGACACUCCUGAAUGAAUUAAACAUAGGACCUUAAUUUAAUUGACCUUAAUUGACCUUCUGACUAGCCCUGCUAGUGGACUCACCUUAGGCAGUAGAUGGGCUUUUUGGAAGAGAUCCGAGUUACGGAGAACACUGGCGUCGUGUGCGCUACCGGGCAUCUUGCAGCUGAUGUUCCAGAACCCGGAAACAAGCCAAGUUGGCCUAAUUUGAUUUGACAAGAGGUAUUCCAUGAGUGCUGAUAUACAGUAUAACAGCACUGGGACAUUUAACUAUUUUGCAGGUGUACCGUUUGCAGGGGUUCUAAUAACCGUUAAUGUUAUUUACGGUCUUUAUGUAGCUUACUUUGUAACAAACUUAUAUUUGUGUUG